rnacentral:rRNA from 1 species
UACGUAGGGGGCAAGCGUUAUCCGGAUUUACUGGGUGUAAAGGGCGCGUAGGCGGGAUGGCAAGUCAGAUGUGGAAUACAUGGGCUCAACCCAUGAACUGCAUUUGAAACUGUCGUUCUUGAGUAUCGGAGAGGCAAGCGGAAUUCCUAGUGUAGCGGUGAAAUGCGUAGAUAUUAGGAGGAACACCAGUGGCGAAGGCGGCUUGCUGGACGACAACUGACGCUGAGGCGCGAAAGCGUGGGGAGCAAAC